rnacentral:rRNA from 1 species
AACGAACGCUGACGGUGUGCCUCAUACAUGCAAGUCGAGCGGGCUCAGCAAUGGGUCAGCGGCGGACGGGUGAGUAACACGUGAACAAUCUGCCCCCGAAUUUGGGAUAACGGCUCCAACGAGCCGCUAAUACCGGAUAGGUUUCCCUGGUCUCCUGGCUGGGUUAAGAAAGUUGCAAUUGCAACGUUCGGGGAUGAGUUCGCGGCCCAUUAGCUAGUUGGCGGGGUAAUGGCCCACCAAGGCGACGAUGGGUAGCCGGCCUGAGAGGGUGAUCGGCCACAUUGGGACUGAGAUACGGCCCAGACUCCUACGGGAGGCAGCAGUAGGGAAUUUUGCGCAAUGGACGAAAGUCUGACGCAGCAACACCGUGUGAGGGAUGAAGCAUUUCGGUGUGUAAACCUCUGUCGAUGAUGAAUAAAGCAUAUGGGAGUGGAAAGCCCAUGUGUUGAAGGUAAUCAUGAAGGAAGCACCGGCUAACUCUGUGCCAGCAGCCGCGGUAAUACAGGGGGUGCAAGCGUUGUUCGGAAUCACUGGGCGUAAAGGGAGCGUAGGCGGAACUACAAGACAGAGGUUAAAGAUCCGGGCUCAACCUGGAAACUGCCUUUGUGACUGUGGUUCUUGAGUAUGGUAGAGGUCAGCGGAAUUUCCGGUGUAGCGGUGGAAUGCGUAGAGAUCGGAAAGAACACCAGAGGCGAAGGCGGCUGACUGGACCAAUACUGACGCUGAGGCUCGAAAGCGUGGGGAGCAAACAGGAUUAGAUACCCUGGUAGUCCACGCUGUAAACGAUGAACACUAGAUGUCGGGAGAGGUUUCUUCCGGUGUCGUCGCUAACGCAGUAAGUGUUCCGCCUGGGGAGUACGCUCGCAAGGGUG